rnacentral:tRNA from 2 species
GUGCCCGUAGCUCAGGUGGAUAGAGCGCGAGAUUCCUAAUCUCGAGGUCGCGGGUUCGAGUCCCGCCGGGCACACCA